UGAAAAGAAACUUGGAGAGAGAGUCAAAAAGACCGCGAAACCGUUAGGAGGGAAACGAAUGCAGCUGAAUUAGCUCUGCUCAAGUUCAGGAGCGAUGUUGAUUGGUGAUGCCAGCGUGCAAAAGCCGAUAGGUUUUGUCGUCUGGAUAGCCGCCAACUCCUCUGCACUCUUGUGCAAGCUGGCCAACAACAGUUACUCGUGGCUGAGAAGGGCAGUUGGGUAGGUGGUUACCUCUCGCAGGUAAACCUUAUAGCCAUCAGUCUGGUAGUCUGCGGGUGACUGAGGAUAACCUGGCAGUGCAGGCCUCGUGCCUUGGGCCGCUUCUGGUCGUUUGGGCACCGCGGCAGGGACUGCGUGCAGUGUCUGUUGACGGCUGUCUGCUCGGACGGGAGACCGGUCACACCUUGCGCUGUAGUUGUUGGUGAUCAAAUGGCUGCAUCCGACCCGUCUUGAAAACACGGAA
rnacentral:rRNA from 1 species